rnacentral:rRNA from 1 species
AAAUGAAUUGACGGGGGCCCGCACAAGCGGUGGAGCAUGUGGUUUAAUUCGAAGCAACGCGAAGAACCUUACCAGGGCUUGACAUCCCGCUGACCGGUGUAGAGAUACACCUUCCCUUCGGGGCAGCGGUGACAGGUGGUGCAUGGUUGUCGUCAGCUCGUGUCGUGAGAUGUUGGGUUAAGUCCCGCAACGAGCGCAACCCUCGUUGUCAGUUGCCAGCACGUAAUGGUGGGCACUCUGGCGAGACAGCCGGUGAAAGCCGGAGGAAGGUGGGGAUGACGUCAAAUCAUCAUGCCCCUUAUGUCCUGGGCGACACACGUGCUACAAUGGCCGGUACAAUGGGUAGCGAAGCCGCGAGGUGGAGCCAAUCCCCAAAGCCGGUCUCAGUUCGGAUCGCAGGCUGCAACUCGCCUGCGUGAAGCAGGAAUCGCUAGUAAUCGCGGAUCAGAAUGCCGCGGUGAAUACGUUCCCGGGCCUUGUACACACCGCCCGU